GACCGGCCACACUGGGACUGAGACACGGCCCAGACUCCUACGGGAGGCAGCAGUGGGGAAUAUUGCGCAAUGGGCGAAAGCCUGACGCAGCRACGCCGCGUGAGGGAUGACGGCCUUCGGGUUGUAAACCUCUUUCAGCAGGGACGAAGCGAAAGUGACKGUACCUGCAGAAGAAGCGCCGGCUAACUACGUGCCAGCAGCCGCGGUAAUACGUAGGGCGCAAGCGUUGUCCGGAWUUAUUGGGCGUAAAGAGYUCGUAGGCGGUYUGUCGCGUCGGANGUGAAAACCCGGAGCUCAACUCCGGGCCUGCUUUCGAUACGGGCAGACUUGAGUGUUGCAGGGGAGACUG
rnacentral:rRNA from 1 species